UUGUCUGGCCGGGGAGUGGGGGGGUUAUGGGAAGCUCUCUAUUUGCGUUUGGCGUCGACGUGUCGACCGGAUGUUUGCUCUUUUGGAAAUCGAUUUCACAAAUAAUUCGUCUUAAUGUCAUAAAUGCGUAUAUAGCUGAUAUCGACUUGUAUUUAUGUUCUGCCCGGGUUGCUUGGAUUCGACUUGAUGGAAAAGAACUCGAUUCUUAUUAUUGCAA
rnacentral:lncRNA from 1 species